GUGCUCGCUUUGGCAGCACAUAUACUAAAAUUGGAACGAUACAGAGAAGAUUGGCAUGGACCCUGCACAAGGAUGACAUGCACAUUCGUGAAGUGUUCCAUAUUUUU
ensembl:snRNA U6 U6 spliceosomal RNA